ACUGCUUCAACCAACUUAGCGACGCCUAUGUUUGUAACAUUUUAUACAUUAAUGAAUGCGUGUUGCGUAGUACAAUUACGAACCAAAUAACUGAGCUUUGUGAGUUUAAAGUGAAGGUCCUGGUUGUUCAUCUGUUGGAGGAGCUUUCAUCGCGCACGGACCUUUUCAACCAAGCAGAGACAUUUUACUCAAGAACGAUUUUAGUUGGAAUACAGGUAAUUAAUCCCUUAAAUUAUAGUUUUAAGUGAUCACAAUUGUGUCACAUUUGUUCUUAAUUAGAUUCUGCUCCCGAUUAUUCACGUAACAUUGAUACUAAUUACGAUGGAUUUUCUCCUGUUAUAUAAUAUUUGCAGAAGCAAAUAUGCUAUACUUGGAGUCACCUGCAGGGGUAGGCUUCUCCUACUCAGCAAACAAAUCAUUCUAUGGCUUCGUGAACGACGAUAUCACAGGUUUUCGCUUCAUAUGACUUUCUCAAUCCUCAUUCAACCAACAAAAUAUAACCCGAAAAUAGUAAACACUAGCAAUGGUGCCUGCACGAUGCUGCGGGUUUUAAAACUGUAUAAAACAUGUGAAAAGUUCUAAAUACAUACAAUAUGCAAUAGUAUUUAGAUAUAUGUUGAAAUCUGUUUACAAUCAUAUGGAUGGGCGGUUCUAUUGCCAUUGUUCUAAUAUUCACAUCUUUUACAAAUUUGAAGUCCUAAGAGCCCUUAACUGGAAGAAAAGAUAAAAGUUUCUUUCUCACCGAAAUCUAUCAAUUUGAAUCAAAUCUACUGAAGAAGUAUAGAUUGUAGCAUACCUUGUAAUUUCUGCAGGCUGUCCACCUACAAUAUCAAUAGUGACAUAAUUUCUUCCUAAGCCAUUGGAAAAACCAAAAUUGAACAGAACUUCCUCCCCCCUCCUCUGACCAAAUAAAAGAAGUAACGUUUCUCUUUUGGAAUCUCUAAUCACAUGACACUCCAAUCACAUGACACAGAACCACACAUAACAGAAAUUAAAAAAGAAAAAGAACUAAACACAUUAACUCUUGACAAAAACUUAUUACCCAUGAAUGGAAAGUCACUGAAAACACAAAUCACCAAUGAAGAAAUGAGGAAACAAAUCAACAACCUAACUUAUAUAGCAUUAGGAUGAACCAUGCUAAUUUGUUCAUAACUGAUCUGUCUCCCUACAUUUUUCAAAUUUGCAACCACAUAUAGUAUUAUAACAUAAUGAUCAAACAAAAUAGAUUAAUUCUUAAGCAUGCAUUUACUCUCGAGCAUGGAAAGGCUUUGGUUUCUUGCAGAAUAAUAGAAAAUAAAAUAAGAAACCCGUUGGAAAAGUUGGCAAUAGAUUGGUUAAAAAACAAUUUAAAAUACUUUUUUGUACCACUUGGUGAUUCUAAACACUAUUUGUUUCCAGAUGAAAUUAAACAUUGUAAAGAAAUAUGCCCCAAAUCAACUGAAGAACUCAUAAUAGAAUUUCUACCUUGCAAUUUAUCAUAACCUUUUCCAUCACAAAACAUUCAAAAUUUUCAACAAAACAUGGAUUCUAUAAUGUUGGCUAAAAUUAUCUACACUACACAUUAAUCAAUAAAAUAUAAUCAGUCGCAUAAUUAUUAAUCUUCAAAACAAUAAGAAAUUAAUAUAAAUCAAAAGAUGACAAACCUAUUACUUUGCAUUCUCAGUAUUGCAGAUAGAUGAAAAUUCCCAUCAAACCUGCAAGAAAGUACAAAGAAAUUAACUAAACUAUCACUGAAGAAGAAGUUAGACAGAAGUGUGGAGAAUGAAAAAACAGAUAUCUAUUUCUAGUCUAUCAAGAUGUUAAUUUUAGAGUUGCAUCAACUUCAAUGUCUAAAUGAAGAGUAGAAAUAAAUUCAUCCACGAAAUAAGAUGUUAUUUAUAAUUAUCGUAACAUAAAUGUAACGUGUGUACAAUCAUCUACCCACACCCAAGGGUAAACUACCCAUCCUGGCAUAACUCCAAAAUCGAAAGAAGCAUGUUAAUAAAAUAUUAAGUCCCUUUACAUCAUAUUUGCUACUAUCAUUUUCAGGAGUCAUGUGGUUUUCCACGAAUUGUAAAGCAUGUAUAUACAAAGUGAGGUUUACCAAUACCUCUAGCUAUUUCCAAGUGUGCGCUGGUGUGGUUUUUCCUUUGCAACAUGCAGUUUUUUUACCUGUAUUAUUCCCACCAUCAACCAAAAGGUCAUACCCAGUGCACAAGGCUCCCGCUUUACGCAGGGUCUGUGAGAGAUGAAUGUCGGCUAGCCUUACCCCCAUUUAUGGAGAGGCUGCUCCCAACCGAAAAGGAAGGAAAAUUUGAAAAAAGAAGUUUCUUAAUACCUUUUAGGAAAAUUGUGAACCAUAAAAUAAGCACUGCAUUUCAAGUAUCAUUUGCAUUUAGAACUUAUGAAAAGAAGAAUAACCCAAAAUACAUUCACGAUUUUUACCUUGCCCACCUAAAGCUUUCUGCCUUGUCAAUUCCUUUUCUCUUGCCCGCUUAAAUAUGAAAAAAAAAUUAAAUCAAUUUCUUUCAAAAAUUCAAUCAUUCACAUAAUCAUGUAAAGGAGAAUCUGAUUAUUUCGAAAGCAGUUGAGGCGGGUUCUAUACCAAGGAAUAACUUGAAGCAUAUCAAAGUUAAAAAGUUUUAAGUGGGGUGAAAAAUACUUAGCAAAGAAAGAAGGUAUUGAAUGAUCAAUAAUAAGAAUUUGGUCAACUUAUUGAUCAAUGCCAAUGAUCCUGAAGUGUUAAGUGCAUACAGAACAAAGCUUGAGAAGCACACAUUUGUGAAUGAUAAGAAUAAUGCUGGAAUUUUUUUUUUCUACUCAAUGGAAUAGCGAUAAUUUGAUUUAGUAAUUAAAAAUAUUUAACACAUUGCAGUAAAAAAAUUUAAGAGCGUAGACAAAGCGUUUAAAAUUUAUUGAAAUACAAUGUGAAUUUGGAGUACUUACAAAAAAUGUAAUGAUUGACAAAAGUAUAAACAUAAUUAGCAUUUUGGAAAGGAAAUUAUCAAACAGUAAUUUUUUUUAAAGCUUUUGGAUUAGUUUUUGAGUCACAUUUGACAAUGGAUAAAAGUGACAGCCUACAAAACUCAAAAAUAACUAUUUUUUAAGAUACAGGGUUAAUGAAAACUCAAAAAUAAACAACAGAGAAUGUUAAGUCAUCCAAUAUUAAGAUAGCUUCUUUCUGUAUUGUAUGUACGUUGUAGUAUUAGAUGACUUAACUUUUGCUAUGUGACGUCCUUGAACGACCAAGAAAUAAAACUAAUCCUGAAUGCUAAAAAUCUCAAAGAAUAUCAAAUAUUCAAGAUCAUAGUCACAUGCACAACAAAAAGUAAAAUGAUGUACACUAUCUCUAAAGUAUAGACCAGUAAACAGUUAGAAAUGCAGGUCACAGUGUGUAAAGUAAUUUUCAGAACACGGGAUUUACAAAUGUCGCUCAAGCCAGAGUCAAUUUGACUUCAAUUGUAAAAGCCAAAUUCAAAGAACACAUGUUUCCAUUUAAGAAACAUGCGGCUUCAUCAAUUUGAACAGAAUUCAAGAUAUGUGGCCGAAGCAUUAUGAUUAUUCAGCUAGUAUUGAAUAAUGGAUUCACCGUAUUUAUAACUGACGAAAUGCAAUCAACCAUCAAAAUUGUAUUCAUUAAAUAGUUAACCCUAUAUCUUUUGCUAAUGAAUAUUCAAAGUAUUUGGCGAUAAAAUAAUAAUAAUGGAAUAGAUUAAUCAUCAAUUAAUUAUCAACAAAAAAUAAUAUUCAUUAAGAAUGGGGUUUCUGCAACUCUAGAUUUUGCAAAUAGUGAUAAGUGCCGAAAGAUGAGUGGCUGGGAUAUAAACAGAGGUUAAUGGUCCAGCUCAGCAGAUCAGUUUAGAGAUUGUUAGUGUUUGUUAGUCUGUUAAGUAUGUGCCAUGAGAGCUAAGCAAGGUGAUUAGUUGUUGUAUAAAUUGUUAACUCUCUCUCUGUUGAAUAGUUAAUUCAUUAAGACAAUUAUAGAGCAAUUAUUAUAUAACUCUCUAAAAUUCCUUUUCUCUUUUGUUUACUCUGCAAUUCUCAAAUAUUUCAACAUAGUUUGGGAAGCUCAAGUGUAUCGGUUGAUACUCCACAGCCGAGAAGGGAUGCCAAGUUUGGGAAGUCUAGAUUCUCACCAUCUCUGGGUUUGGUACUUCGCAUCAAUUAUCAUGAGAGAGAGGGAGAAAGCGGGUAUUUGAUGAGAGCGUUUGAGUACUGUAUAUUGGUACAAAACCAAUUAGAUACUUGAAAUUAGAUAAACAUCUUACAAUCGUGCAAACUGGAACUUGGACAAAUCCAAAAUAAAAUGAAAAUAACUACAGAACAUAUGAAUACCAUAGUUUCUCAAAUGGCAUAGUCCACCUGCAUAUAAACAUUUCCAAGUAAAUUCAUACCUCAAUAAAAAGAGAAUAGAAUAAGCCAUACUUCAUAUAAUAUCAUGAAUUAACUCAGAAAAAUUUCUUUAACCCAGAUUUUUAAAAUUAAAAUCACAAAAAUUUGAACAACGAAAAGAGAACCCAAGAACUAAACCCUAACCAAAAAUUUCAGAGAACUCACCAGGAAACCCAAGCUUUAUGGGUUUAAAAUUUCUUCAAUAAAACCCAAAAUUUCCCUUAAUGGAAUUCCAAAAAGCAUUCUCCAUCAGCAUUAGGCAUAACCCCACUUACAUGCGUCCCUUGCGAAAACUUACCAUUUGAAGCUGUUUCCAAUCGAUUGUCCACCGUAAAAUGUUUUAAAUCAUCACUGGCAUGCUACAAACAGAACGAGAUUGAACUUGGAUUUUCCCAAAAAUUCACCAAAUCAAACCACAAAAAAUUAAUCGAAGUAAACAAAGUGCACAAUUUGUCGAAAGCAAUAGAUCCAACAUUCAUACAAAUGAAAUUCGAUCAUGAAUUGAAUAAAAAAAAGUGAGAGAGAGAGGAACCUCAAGCACUUGGAACCCUACACAUAAAAGCGGCAAGAAACGAUGACCAUUGCUUCCUCAAAAUAAAAUAAAAAACCAAAUCAUAUACCCACACUAAAAAUCCAAACAUAAAAACAAAACCCCAAAAAUUAAUUAUCAUUAUUAUUAUUAUAACAUAGAUUUGCAAACGAAGUAAGACCCAAAAAAAUUUAAACUUUUGUUCAAGAAAAGAUUUAAGAGGAAAAACAUAAAUUAUAUACCUUAAUCAGAAAGGGCUUGCAAGCUUCUGCACAAAACCUUAAAAUUCGAUUAGCAACGUUUCCUGAAAUAAAAAACAAACAACCACAACACUAAAAAAAGGAAAGCAAAAUACUCAAUGCAAAAGGCCAAGGUCUGUGUGGUUGUUUUUCUGUGUUCAAACCUUCAUCAGAACGCAUAACACAGGCCAAUAAAAUAUUUCGCCAAAUCUAAAACCCAGAACACAAACUAAUUUAAAAUUUCUGCAACUAAACAUUUGAAUAAAAAAAAAUCAUCAAAUUAAAACUCCCAAACCCAAUUCAAUCCUUGAUCAGAACACGUAACAAAGGUUAAUAAAAUAUCUCAAAAUAAACAAUCAAUUUUUAACAUCUAAAAUUGAAGAUAAUAAAACCCAUCGAUUUGGAAAGGAAAAAAAAACCCUCCCACAUGCAAGUUUUGAAUAACUCACCGGAAAGCUUUAAGGUGAUAGAAGAGCAAGAUAGAACAUGAGAGAACAAAGAUCAACAGCGACAGAAACCAACAAAGGUAACACAAAGAGAGAGAGAGAGAGCAAAGGAAACGAAAACCACAAAAACCCAAAACUAUCGAACAAAAAUUGGAGGAGAAAGAGUGAAAAGCAAGGGAAGAUGCCAGAAGACGCAGCGAUGGUCGACAGGUGGAGCGGAAGGGCAUUUUCGUCAUUUCACUGUUCAUUAACAGUGCAAAACAGUACCUGAGAACUGGGUUUGGGGGGGGGUGUAUUCAAUUGAGAUUUUAAGGGAUUUUAAUUCUUUUAAUGAAUCUAGGGGUAUUCAAUCAAGAUUUUAAGUGAUUCUCUAAACUUCAAGCUGUAUUCAAUUAGAAUUCUAAAUGGUUUAUUAAAAUUCUUAGAAAUCCAGAUGUAUUCAAUUAAGAUUUUAAAGAAGUUUUUAACAUUCUAGGUGUAUUCAAUUAGAAAUUGAUUUUAAAGAAUUUGAGAAAGUUGAGGAAUUAGAGGGAAUUGGAGAGUUUUCGUAGUGCAUUUUAAGCUUUCACAAUUCUCACAUCUUCUCAUGAGAUUUCGAGAGAAUUAAAUCAAAAUUUUAUAUGAAAUCUCUAAAAAUUAAUUGAAUUCCAUAAAAAUUCAUGGAUUUAUAAAUCCAUUAAAGUCCCUCUUAGUAUAUAGAUAAUGUACAUUCUGAUCAUGUUCCUAUUCUCUUCUUUUUAGCACGAGAUAAUCUCAAGUUCCUUCGGCGCUGGUUCCACAAAUUCCCUGAGUAUAAAAAUAGGGAUUUGUUUAUCACAGGACAGAGCUAUGCAGGUAACAUUAUUUACUUGUAAAACCAUCAUUUCUAUCACUAAUGACCAAUUAGAAAACUCGAAAGGUACAAACUUACGACGCACUUCUAAAAAAUUCCAUUUUUUCACUGCCAGGCCACUAUGUUCCACAACUUGCACAACUCAUUAUCCAAUCAAAACUGAAGUUCAAUCUGAAGGCGGUAGCAGUAAGCAAACGAGAAUCGAAAAAGUGAAGUGACUUUGGAGUUGAUGUUUUCGACUAAGAUGUCAUGCUUGAGCUGUUUUUGCUUGCAGAUUGGCAAUCCUCUUUUGGAAUUCAAUACUGAUGCCAACUCACCAGCAGAGUACUGGUGGUCUCAUGGAUUAAUAUCAGAUGCGACCUUCGAAAAUUUGACUUCAGUCUGCAACUCUUCUGAAAUUUUUAGACAGGAGGUAAUUCGUGGUGGUCCACUUAGCCCUGCUUGUGAUGCAGUAGCGAACCAAUUUGAAAGAGAAGUCCCUGGACAUUUGAUCAACCAAUAUGACGUUACUCUCGAUGUCUGUUUAUCAUCCGUCGAAGCUCAAUCUUUCCAACUGGUAAGCCUUGGUAUUUUCUCCUUUCAUUUAUUUCGAAUUCUCCACGUUAAUAUACAAACUUCCAACUCACCGAUCACAUCUGCAGCGAAAAACAGUGAAGAUAGAUGUCUGUAUCGGAGAUGAAACUGUUACAUACUUCAACCGACCAGAUGUACAGGAGGCACUUCAUGCCCGAGUCACAAAUUGGACAAUUUGCAGCAAGUAAUCAUCUCAUCUCAUUUGAAUCACUGGUGCACAUAAACGUAGUAGGUUCCGAAGAUGAAUCAAAACAUGAAAAGAAUUCCACUUAUAUUCCAAACUAUUCAAAGAUCGAAGAAAUGUUCCUUCUUUUUUGUUUACUGUGCUUCUAAAUUGAUUAUCGUCUUUUACAGCGGAGGUGUCCUUGAGUAUGACAUGAAAAACCAUGAAAUACCGAUGCUUCCAGUUUUAGGUGACCUUGUCAAGUCUGGAAUUCGGGUUUUGAUUUACAGGUGAUGAGUCUCACCAUUGUACAAAUCAAAACUCUUGCCAUCUUCGAUAAUCUUAGUCUUUUAGAAAUUGUUCUUAAAAGUUCAUCUUACAUGUUUUCCACAGUGGUGAUCAAGAUUCUAUUAUUCCACUAACGAGUACACGGACACUGGUGAACGGAUUGGCAAGGGACUUGGGGCUACAAACGAACGUGCCUUACAGAGUCUGGGUUCAAGAAAAACAGGUCGGUUCGUGAAUAUAAUAACAGUGGAAAAUUCGGACUAUCUACCUGUGGUCUUAGCAGUUUCAUCCUUUAUAAAUAUUUAACUUUUCAGGUUGCUGGAUGGACACAAGUAUACAGUGACGCUUUAUCUUACGCUACCAUAAGAGGAGCAGGCCAUGAAGCUCCAAUUUCGCAGCCAAAGAGAUCACUACUUCUGUUUACCUCAUUUCUGAGAGGAAAGCCACUGCCAAAAGCCUUAAGUACUAACUGAUCAAAUUGCAGAAAUCAAGAAGAAACAUAUAUAUUCAUUUCUUACGCAGAAUUAUUGAGUGAACAAAUUGCAAGGUUUUAAAAGACGCUAAACGCUAGUCGAGCGGCGGACUAGGCGGAUUUUAGUAAAUCUACUAUAUUUCAUGUAAAUAAGUGUGUUUAUACCAAUGUAUUAAAAGAGUGAGGCAUAGGCGAGGCGUCCGAGGGAUAGCCCGACCUAGGAGACCUAAAUUUUUAAAUAUAUAUACUGAGCAUACACAUAUAUUAUAUUAAAAAAAGAAGAUUAUUAAUCAAUAAUCACCCUAAGCACACACAUAUAUUAUAAAUAUAUAUACACACAUAUAUAUACAAAUAUUAUAUAUAUAUAAUAGAGGAUGAAAAGCACAAUGAGCACACAUAUAACAAUGCAUGCAGACAACACACACAUCCAUUAUAUAAAAAAUUAAAAAUCAGAAAAAAAAAGGCAGAGAGACGAUAAUGUAAGGAAGAGGUAUAAGGCAAUUAAAACCCUACCCAAAAUUUGGGUUUGGGAGUUUGAAAAAAAAAAACCCUUGAGGCGUGUAACAACCCGUCCCGGGAUUUGCGGAACAAAAAGGGUAUUUUUGUAUUUUCACUAAGUUUGGGGAUAUUUUCCUUUUAAAAAUGGUUUUUGGGUCUUAAAUGGUGUGCCCAAGGGGCCCACCCCUGAUUUAUCCCCCGGUUCCCUCCCUCUUUCCUUUCUUUUGUUUCUGAUUUUUAUAACCCUUUCUUUCCUUCAGCUUUCUCCCCUCGUCUCUCCCUCUCGAGCUCAUCUCUCUCUCAGACUUUUUCCCGAUCGACACUCACACACACACCCAGUCACCCCCACACCCAAGGAGACUUCGACGACGGCACCACCCUCUGAUCCCACUCCCUCUCUCCUUCUCACCACGGUGCAAAUAUUCCCCGACGAGUUAUCGUCGUUUUCGACGAAGGUAGGUCAAAACACCCGUCACUUUCGAGGCAAUUUCCGGCCAAACCACAGAGAGUUGGUUGCCAUGCAAGGUAUCAAUUUCUUCGUCUCGCUAAGUACUACAACUUUCCUUUUUAUUUCACCCAAUUUCGUUGAGUAUUGAAGAAGUUAUACUCAUUUGAAUCUUACCCAGUUUCCGGCAACCUCCGAAGCUUUCAAGGUGUUUUUCGGCCAAACCACGGCGGGUUAGACAUUGGGUGAGGUACCAUUCUCUUUGUCUCGUCGAGAGCUAUGAUUUCCUUUUUUUAAUCUCUCAAUUUCGUUGAGUAUUGACAAAGUUGUUAACGUUUAAAGUUUGUUCAGUUUUCCGGCCGAAUUACGGCCUUCUCCAUCCUUUGGGUCCAGCGACCCAUGUUUUCAACUCAGGCCGGGCUUUCAAGCCCAAAGCCUCUUCGAACCAGGCGCUUUGGGGUUGUGUAAAACAUGGGCCUUUGGCCCGUUGCCACUAAAGCCCAAACCAUUUUCCUUUUAUUUGGUUUAAACCCCAAAACCUUUGUACAUAAGCCUUUGGGCCAUUCAACCUAACCCAAAAACCCUUUAUAACCCAUCCCUUAGGGCAGCCCGACUCGUGUCCCUUUAACCUUUUAUCCCAGGCCCUUGGGCCGGCCUACCAAGCCCAGCAGCAAGCCCAACCUAAUCUGGUGGAAUAUUCUAAGGAAUAUUCUUUGGAAUAUUCUUGAAAUAUUCUUUUGUUGACUUUUCAGAAUUAAUCGGGACCCUUCUUAGGGUAAUUCGACGUCCUGAAUCCGUUUCUAACGUCUGUUUUUCCAAAUUCAAUUGUUAUUAUAUAGUUUUAUUAAUUGGACCCUUUAUGUGCUUAGGGGCAAUUAUUUGUGGCGUUUCCGUCUUUGCUAGUUGCCUGGCUCUUCAGCGGCUAAGUACUGUAAGUGGACCCCUUCUAAAAAUGCAUGUUUUGAUAGUAGAAAUGCAUACAUAAAAAGCAUUAUUUAAUGAUUAUGUUCUAUGAAACGUUUUGCUAGAUAACAUGCUUACUGAGGCUAGUUUGAAUUAUUACUAUUUUUCCUAUAACCCGUGUUCUUAUAGAAUAUCUGAUGGAUGACGAUAUGAUAUUUAGAACAUGUUUAGAACACCUCUUUAUAGUAUAGAUGAUGGAUGACUUUAUACUAUGAUGUCGCUUUUCAAUAUAUAUAUGUUCAAUGGUUUUGUACUUACCUAGUGGUCAUUUCCGAUACAGGACGUAGGGAUAGAUUCUGGUCCAUCCCGGGCGACGGUUUGGUGUUGGCAUAGGGCCUGGAGUGUGUUUCCUCUGGCUAUUUAGCACAGGGACGGGGAGCCGGCAUGGGGCCUGGGGGUUAUUGGACAUUCACUAGUGAUUAUUAUAUAUACAAGUUAUGAUUUGAGACAUUGCAUGACAUGCUAGGUUUUAGAAAACCUAUGUUUAUCAUGAUAUAUAUGUGUUUUCAUAAAACAUGGGGGUUUAGUACGUUGAUAACUGUUUUAGUAUAUAUAUAUAUAUAUAUAUAUAUAUAUAUAUAUAUAUAUAUAUAUAUCAACUUGGUCUACUCAUGUUUGUUUUGCGCCCCCUUCAGGACUUAGAAUCGAGGCAUACAAUCCCGGCGUCUAGGCACUUCCGCAUCGGCAUCUUCGAGUCCUCUUGGUGUAGGACCCAUUCCUUUGUUCAUUCAAUUUUUAUAUAAAUUCUUUUAGUAUUCUAGAUUAGAUGUAUGCUCUGAACAUGUUCCUGAAAUGCAUAUUCAUUAUCUUUAUAUUUAUAAGUUUUAUUUAUUCCUUGGUUCUCAGCAUUUGCAUUCAAUAAAUGACUUUCGUCACCCUCGGUGUCGGCCAGCACGUGCCUAUCCUGGUGUUCGGGGAAUAUCGGGAUCAGGGUGUGUUAGCGCGCCUAGACGGCUCCGACAACGCCUUCCGCCCACUCCCUCAAAAUAGAGGCGGCAACCCUCACACCCAGCCUCAGAUGACACCUAGGCGCGCCCUGAGGCGAGCCUUUUAAAACACUGGUUUAUACUUAAAAUAUAUGUAAUUUCAUCAAAAACUACAUAAUAGAAUGACAUAUAUAUUAUGAAGUAUUGGAACAUAAUGAAAACAUAGGGAACAAGCAUGUAAUGUGUGUUUAUUUAAGCAUUCAACAAGUCUCUUACAAUUUAUUGAAAAGAGUAAAAUGUAAAAUGAAUGUUAUCUAUUUUCUUCUUAGUGAGUCGCAACCUAGACGGGUGCCUAGGCAGGUCUGCGCGAGCUAGGUAGGUGCCUAGGCUGUUUAGGCAGGUGCUUCAGCAGGUCUAGGCACCCUUUCUUAAUUUUCAAAUGCUUGGGCAUUAAUCGGGCAGUGACCAGCCACCUAACGUCUAGGUGGCGCAAGGCGAGGAUUUUUAGAACAGUGACAAAUUGUGAGAAAAUAGGUAAACUCAUGAGAACAAGAAUGUCAGUUUUAAUAGGUGAACUUGUCAAGUCUGGAAUUCGGGUUUUGAUUUACAGGUGAUGAGUCUCACCAUUGUACAAAUCAAAACUCUUGCCAUCUUCGAUAAUCCUAGUCUUUUAGAAAUUGUCCUUAAAAGUUUAUCUUACAUGUUUUCCACAGUGGAGAUCAAGAUUCUAUUAUUCCACUAACGAGUACACGGACACUGGUGAACGGAUUGGCAGAGGACUUGGGGCUACAAACGAAUGUGCCUUACAGAGUCUGGUUUGAAGAAAAACAGGUCGGUUCGUGAAUAUAAUAUCAGUGGAAAAUUCGGACUAUCUACUUGUGGUCUUAGCGGUUUUUAUCCUUUAUAAAUUUUUAUCUUUUCAGGUUGUUGGACGGACACAAGUAUACAGUGAUGCUUUAUCUUACGCUACCAUAAGAGGAGCAGGCCAUAAAGCUCCAAUUUCGCAGCCAGAUAGAUCAUUGCUUCUAUUUACUUCAUUUCUGACAGGAAUGCCAUUGCCAAAAGCCUGAAGUACUGACACAAACUGCAGAAAUCAAGAAGAAACAUAUCUAUUCAUUUCUUACAAUGAAUAAUUGAGUGAACAAAUUGUAAGAAAAUCGGUAACUCAUGAGAACAAGAAUGUCAGUUUUAAUUAGCGCUUUUUCUCGGCAUCAAUAAAGACAUUCGGAGGAAUGACAGGCAACAUCCAAAUAAAACUUCUUCCAUAUGUUAAAAAGAGCAUAAGUGACACUCCAACAGAAAUCGAAAUUGUACGUCUGAGUUGUUAUCAACUUUAAGGAUGAGUCCAGUACGUGGUACCCCAACUCGUCAAAUCCGCUAGACUCGUAAACAAAAUGAGCAUGGUUAAUAGCCAACUUAUACAAAGCGCGUUGUAUUUCAAACCAAUAACAUACAUCGAUGUCCUCUCGCUAGUUCUUACUUCUUAUGAUGCAUAAUAAAAUAACAUGUUUAAAUUCUUAGAUUGUUCGCUGCUAAAACAGAACCCUUUGCAGGAAAAUUUGUACGUGUCACUUUGCAUUGAGGCACACCAUAUACUCGGUGAGGCAAGAUAUUCGAUCACCAUUGGAGGAUAAAACUCAGGCUUUGACAAUCUCCUAAUGAAAGUUAUGCAGAUUAUGGUUACUUUCCUCUUUCGAGAACCCCUUAGGUUUAUUUUCCUAUGUUUCUAAUGUUGUACUUUUAUGUGCAAACGGAAAUGAAUUCUAACAAAGUACCAAUAUCAACGUCGUAGGUGAAAGCUAAAACAAACAAUCUCAAACUAACACAAGAGAUUUACGUGGUUCGGCGUGAAGCCUACGUCCACGAGCGAAGCACGGCGAUGAAUUUCACUAAACAAACGGAGAUUACAAAAGAGUGUUUAAACUCUCACAACCCAAAUCCCACAAAUUACAAACCAUAAACCAAACGAGUAGAGAACCCAAACAAACGGAGAAGAUUCUCCCAAAUUGCUCUCUAACUCACAAACUCACAAAUUGACUCUCACCAAAUUUGCCAAACGAAUGAGCCAUGAAUUUGCCACACAUUCAUGACUCCAAACAGUGACCUCCACCCAAAACCAAACUAGAGAAAAGCUCUCUAAACCAUGAUGAGGCACACUAAAUACACUAACCCUAAGGUUCUAUUUAUAGUGCAUAGGACUUAGGUUACAAUAAGAAUCCUAAUAGGAAAUAAAUCCAAAUCCUAAUCAAAUAGGUAAUUAACAAAAUCUCUCCACCUAGGAAACCAACUAGGAAGUCAAAUCCAAACCCAAAUAGGACACCAAAACCAAAUAGGUAACACAAACCUAAUUUAUUGCAUCAUCCUAAUUUUGAGCCAAAAACCCAACAUCUAGCAAGACUGUAAUUUGUAGUGAAAUAAGAGAGGGAGGAGUGCAAGAUAAAUUUAUCAAGAACGAAAGCAUAACCAAAGUAACCGACUUCCAACAAUGAAUUAAUUAAAUUAAAAUUACAAAGCAAUUGCUAAUCUCUAAACAAAACAAUAGCAAGGCGAAUAUUGUUCAUAGCCAAACGGUAAAUCAAGAGUUAAACCAAUCAAACCAAAAAUUAGUAGAAGACUAGAAGUUCGAUAACCAAGGAUUCAAGAUGGUGUCCUUGGUUAAAUCUUCUUCUGUAAUUCUGAGUUCAAAAUCCACGCACUUGGCAGCAUUGGACAUUUCACAGGCAAUGGAGGCUUCAAUUCCAUGGCUGAAGUACUAGCAGUAGAAGUAGUAUUCAUCGGAUUCUUCGAUUCCAUGACUAAAGUAGUAGUACUAGUAGUAGUAGAGUUCACCGGAUUCUUAUUAAAACCACCCCAUUGGGCCAAUUCAUGACCUAAUGCGUCGUGAAUAAAUGGAUUUACAGGGUCUUGAGAGGGGGGCAUCUGCACAUCAAAAUACGCAGGGUUCAAGCAUCGCAGUGUUUUGCUUGAGCUUGAGUGAGUUCGGGAUAAAUUUUGAUUUUGUUUCACAGCAUAAUAUCUUUCCAUGGAAUCAAUCUCCAGUGUUGAUGCCUGUAUCUUGGCUUCGAGUGAAGCAAUGGGUUUAAUCAAUUCAUCUUUUGAAAAUAGGUCAAUUCGAGCAUCCCAUGUUGGGUACUUAGAAAUGUGCUUAUUGCCCGGUUUUUGAAACUUGGGAUCGACAUGAUAAUCAUCAUCAUCACCAUCAUCAUCACCAUCACCAUCAUCACCACCAUCACCACCAUCACUGUGAUCACCGUCAGCAUCGUCAGCAUCUUUCUUCAUCUUGGCCUCAUCAAAAUCAAACAAACUAUAGCUUCUCUUUAGGAAAUCAGGGGCAGCAGCAUCCUUGGAAGCCUUGUACCUGCCAAGAAUGCGAUUGAAUUCAACUAGAUCUUGCGGCUACGUCUCCAGCUGAAUUUGACCCGUUUACCGGUACUAGUAGUUGUUGGUGACACUGGACCACUAUCUGUAUUCUCUUGCAUGAUUUGAAUCUGAACCGUCCAAGAGAAAUUGUAUGGCGUAUGUACCCAUAGUCUUAUGAGUAUUUCAGAGAAUCUUAACGGAUACAUAAUUUGUCUUCUAGAUGACUAUUCAUUCAUCAUACAAAACGCAUAUUUCAGAAAACCUUAUCGGAGUAGUUUUAUUUCUCUGAUUACUACACGUCUCUCGAAUUGCCAUUGACUAAGUAAAGAAAAUCUAGGUUGGAAGCAUUCCAGAAGUGUCCAAAAUUUGACAUCCAUGGCCACUACCUUUUCAAGCGAAGGAGAUACCAGUACUGAAUCUACAUGGAGAAUGCAUUUUUGGGGACCAAAGCUAGAGAAGUGAAAUAUAACACAGUGCUUGGUUUGAUAAUCAACUUGGACCUUUCAAGCAACAUGAUAUUUGAAGAAAUCCCUACAGAGCUGCCCAACCUCAUUUGCUUGCAAUCGUUGAACUUAUCCAAUAAUCUUCACACGGGAAGAAUCCCUUCCAAGAUCAAAGAUAUGGGAUCAUUAGAAUCACUUGAUUACCACGCCAACCAACUUUCUGGUGAAAUAUCUCCAAGCAUCCUGAAUUUGACGUUUCACAGCGUAAUAUCUUUCCAUGGAAUCAAAAUACACAGGGUUCAAGCAUCGCAGUGUUUUGCUUGAGCUUGAGUGAGUUUGGGAUAAAUUUUGAUUUUGUUUCACAGCAUAAUAUCUUUCCAUGGAAUCAAUCUCCAGUGUCGAUGCCUGUAUCUUGGCUUCGAGUGAAGCAAUGAAUUUAAUCAAUUCAUCUUUUGAAAAUAGGUCAAUUCGAGCAUCCCAUGUUGGGUACUUAUUCUCGGAAAUGUGCUUAUUGCUCGAUUUUUGAAGCUUGGGAUCGACAUGAUCAUCAUCAUUGUUGAAUAAUUGGCCAACAUUCUUCCUUGUUUUGGGGAGGAAAACACCUUUCCUUGUUUUGGGGAGGAAUAUAGGGAAAGUGUUUUGUUCUCUUAACACCCGUGGGUGUUGGUUCAAGGGCUGAGUGAGUUGUCUUUAAAGAAAGAAAAAAAAGGAGACCUCAUGUUUUCUGCCGAGAGGAAAAAGGGAGAGAGUGAGAGCUGGAAAAACAGAGGGCAGAGAAGAAGAAGAAAUCUGGAGCAGCAACCCCAUUUCGAAGAGAAGAAGGUGCUCUUCACUUUGGUUAGUAAUCAUCCAUCAAAAUAAUUGUAAUAGCUUUGAGCUUUGUAUAGAGAAGAAAUUAAUCACUAUAUUUUUUCUUCUCUAUUUGUUUCUUUGGUGUGUGAGAGCUUUUGGGUGUAUUGGGGUUAAGGGUUGUGAGAUUGCCAACACUUUGUAAACUCCCAUUUGGUUGAUAGUGGAUUAUUGGGUGAGCUCCUACUGCUCCGAGGACGUACUCCAGUUACACUGACUGUUGAGGAACCUCGUUAAAAUCUUGGUGUCUUUUAUAUUUUGUUCUUGCAUUUUCAUUUGAUAUAUUUCCUGUGGGUUAUCAAGAGUUGGUUCUAAAAGGUUUGGUGCUACCUAGCACAACAAUUGGUAUCAGAGCACUAGUUGCUCUUGGGUACUGUUUAGUUGCCAAAGAUGUCAGACGGGCAAGAUGAAAAUCCUUUUGGAAGCAGCUCCGGGUUUGCAAGAACUACGGUGCAAAAUGCAAAGUUCGAAGUGGAAAGUUUGAUGGCACAAACAACUUCGGGAUGUGGCAAUGUGAGGUCAAAGAUGUGUUGGCUCAACAAGAUCUACUUGCCGCUUUGGGAGAGAAGCCGGAAGCCAUGUCGAAGUCAGAAUGGGAGAAAUUAAAUUUGUGGGCUUGCUCUUCAAUUCGGUUAUGCCUUGCAAAAACUCAGAAGUAUUUUGUGAUGCGGGAGACAGUAGCAAGUGUUUUGUGGCAAAAAUUGGAAGACAAGUAUAUGACGAAGAGUGCAGAGAACCGGCUACACUUGAAGAAAAAGCUCUACCGCUUCCAAUACAAAGAAGGUACAAAAAUGAUUAGACACCUUGAUGCUUUUAAUAAGUUGAUUGCCGACUUGUUAAAUUUAGAUGAGGAUAUUAAGGAUGAAGAUAAAGCCUUAAUAUUGUUGAAUUCAUUGCCGGACUCUUAUGAGCAUUUUGUUACCACUAUUAUGCAUGGUAAAGAAACUGUGAAAUUUGAAGAUGUGUCAAAUGCCUUGAUGAAUUAUGAAAUGAGGCAUAGAGAUAAAAAUCAUGAUAGUACCUCUGAAGCUUUAUUUGUUAGAGGUAGAUCAUCGGAGAGGAGGUCAUCUUCUAGCAGGAAAAAAUCACAGUCUCGACCUAGAGGAAACUCUAAAGGUAGAAAACCUUUGGAAAAGGAUGAAUGUGCCUUUUGUCAUAAUAAGGGCCAUUGGAAGAAAGAUUGUCCUAAAUUGAAGACCAAAGGCAAAGAAAGUUCUGAAGCUAAUGUUGCUGAGGUUGAAACAGAUUUUUCUGAUUUUGCUUUAACCACUUCCUCAUCAUUUGAUUGUGCUACUAAAUGGGUGUUGGAUACGGGUUGUACUCAUCAUAUAUGACUCCUCACAAGGAUUGGUUUUCAAGCUUGAAAGAGUUUGAUGGUGGCGUUGUGUUCAUGGGAGAUGACAAUCCUUGCACAACAAAAGGGAUUGGUACAGUUCGUUUGAAGUUGCAUGAUGGCAUGGUUAAAGAGUUGACAGGUGUUCGGUAUGUACCGAAUUUGAAGAAAAAUCUUAUUUCUUUGGGUACUUUGGAAUCCAAGGGUUUCAGGUUUCAUUCAGAUGGACAGACAUUGAAAGUUACUUAUGGUGCACUUGUUGUGAUGAAAGCUCCUAGAUGUGGCCAUUUGUAUUUAUUGCAGGGAAGCACUGUGACAGGUGAAGCAUAUGUAGUCUCUGAAAAUAUGGGCACAUCUGAUUCAGAUACUACUAGAUUGUGGCAUAUGAGAUUAGGCCAUGCCGGUGAGAAAGCUCUACAAGGGCUUGUGAAACAAGGUCUUCUAAAAGGUGCCAUGACUUGUAAGCUUGAUUUCUGUGAGCAUUGUGUCUUGGGGAAGCAAACUAGAGUGAAGUUUGGUACUGCUGUACAUCAGACGAAGGGCAUUCUUGAUUAUGUGCAUUCGGAUGUUUGGGGUCCUACAAAGACUCCCUCUUUGAGUGGUAGACAUUGGUUCGUGACCUUUGUUGAUGAUUAUUCAAGAAGGUCUUGGGUCUACACUAUGAAGCACAAGAGUGAGGUGUUAAGCAUUUUCUUGGGUUGGAAGAAAAUGGUUGAGAACCAGACUGGGAGAAAGAUUAAGAUUUUGAGAUCUGAUAAUGGUGGUGAAUACACAUCCGAUCCUUUCUUUAAAGUUUGCAAAGAUGAAGGAAUUGUGAGACAUUUCAGUGUUCGGGGAACUCCACAACAAAAUGGAGUUGCAGAAAGAUUGAAUCGAACCUUGCUUGAGAAGGUUAGAUGUAUGUUGUCUCAGUCGAGUUUAAGCAAGUCAUUUUGGGCAGAAGCAGUUAAUUAUGCAUGUCACAUCAUCAACCGGUUACCCUCAACUGCUAUUCAGGGUAAAACACCAAUGGAGGUAUGGACUGGAAAACCUUCUUCUGAUUAUGACUAUAUCCGUAUUUUUGGUUCACCUGCUUAUUUUCAUGUGACUGAAAAUAAACUUGAUCCUAGAGCCAAAAAGGCUAUCUUUCUUGGUUUUAGUAGUGGUGUCAAAGGUUACAGGUUGUGGUGCCCAGAGAUGAAAAAACUUGUAAUCAGCAGAGAUGUGACAUUUGAUGAAGAAAGUAUGUACAAAGUCUCUGAGAAGAAUGUGAAAGAUGUCCAACAGGUGGAGCUUGAGAAAGUUGCCUCUGGUACUUCAAAUCCUAUUUCCGCUGAUGUCAAAGCCACUACAAGUGAGGAAGUUGGAGACCAUGAGGAUGUUGAAGAAGUUGAACUUGAAGAUUCUAUUCAAGUUGAAGAGCAAGUUUCACCUCAAGAGUCUAUUGCCAAAAACAGAGGAAAGAGACAAAUUACCAAGCCAGCUCGGUAUAGUGACUAUGUUUCUUUUGCUCUUCCUAUUAUCACUGAUGAUAUUCCAUCUAAUUUCGAGGAAGCCAUUGAGAGUGAGGAGAAGAAGAGGUGGUGCAAUGCCAUGGGUGAUGAGAUGAGUUCUCUCUUGAAGAAUAAGACUUGGGAGUUAGCUAAAUUGCCUAAGGGCAAGAAAGCUAUCGGUUGCAAAUGGGUGUGCCAAGAAGGAAGAUGCUGAUGAGAAAAACAAUGUGAGAUUUAAAGCAAGAUUAGUUGCUAAAGGGUACGCACAAAAGGAGGGCAUUGACUACAAUGAAAUAUUUUCUCCGGUUGUGAAGCACUCAUCAAUUCGUAUUAUGUUAGCUCUUGUUGCACAAUAUGAUCUUGAGCUUGUGCAACUUGAUGUGAAGACGGCUUUCCUACAUGGUGAUUUGAAUGAAGAGAUUUAUAUGUGUCAACCGGAUGGGUAUAUAGUGAAAGGGAAGGAAAAUUUGUUUUGCAAAUUGAAGAAAUCACUUUAUGGCUUGAAGCAAUCUCCAAGGCAAUGGUAUUUGAGGUUUGAUAAAUUUAUGAGAGGCCAAAAUUAUUCUAGAAGUCAAUAUGAUCAUUGUGUGUACUUCAAGAAGUUGCAAGAUGGGUCUUUCAUUUAUUUAUUGAUAUAUGUUGAUGAUAUGUUGAUUGCCUCAAAGAAUGUCGAAGAGAUUGAGAAAUUGAAGAAGCAAAUGAAGAAUGAGUUUGAGAUGAAGGAUCUUGGUGAAGCGAAGAAGAUCCUUGGCAUGGAGAUCACUAGAGAUAGAGCAAAGGGUUUCGUCAGUUUGAAUCAAAGACAAUACCUUGAGAAGUUGAUUCGGAAGUUUGGAGUUCAUGAUUCAACCAAACCGGUUAGUACCCCUUUGGCUCCUCAUUUUAAAUUGAGUUCUCUACAAUGUCCUAAAAAUGAUAAAGAGAAGCUGCAAAUGAAAAAUGUACCAUAUGCAAAUUUGGUUGGUAGUUUGAUGUAUGCAAUGGUAUGCUCUAGACCGGAUAUUGCUCAUGCAGUUGGCAUGGUGAGUCGAUAUAUGCAUAAUCCAGGUAAAGAGCAUUGGCAAGCAGCUAAGUGGAUAUUGAGAUAUCUCCAUGGUACUCGAGAUGUUGGCUUAUGCUUUGAGAGGGAUGACUCUGGUAUUGGUCAUUUUGCAGUUGGUUAUGUUGAUUCAGAUUAUGCAGGUGAUCUGGAUGGAAGGAAAUCUACUACAGGUUAUGUGUUUACUAUGGCUAAAGGACCAGUUUGUUGGAGGUCCAUUUUGCAGUCGUCUGUUGCCUUGUCUACUACAGAGGCUGAAUAUAUGGCAGUUGCUGAAGCUAUAAAGGAGGCCAUUUGGAUACAUGGGCUGAUUAGAGAUUUGGGGGUUGAUCAGAAGCAGGUGGAGGUACAUUGUGAUAGUCAGAGUGCCAUUUAUUUGGCUAAGUAUCAGGUUCAUCAUGCGAGGACCAAGCACAUAGAUGUGCGUUAUCACUUUGUUCGUGAAGUAGUUGGUGAAGGGGAGAUCAUUCUCCAGAAGAUUCCAACUAAAGACAACCCCGCUGAUAUGUUGACUAAGGUUGUUGGUGUAGCCAAGUUUGUUCACUGUUUGAACUUGGCUCACAUUAUGCCUAUAUAAAGAAGGCGUUGAGCAGUAGGAGUUUUGGAGUAUUUGGCUCGGCAUGAGUUGUUCUCUUGCUAGUGUUUGGGAGUGAUGUUGUGUGUUAAUUGUGUUGGUUGGCUUAUCAUGGCGUUUUUCGGAACUUGGCCAAGGUGGAGAUUGUUGAAUAAUUGGCCAACAUUCUUCCUUGUUUUGGGGAGGAAAACACCUUUCCUUGUUUUGGGGAGGAAUAUAGGGAAAGUGUUUUGUUCUCUUAACACCCGUGGGUGUUGGUUCAAGGGCUGAGUGAGUUGUCUUUAAAGAAAGAAAAAAAAGGAGACCUCAUGUUUUCUGCCGAGAGGAAAAAGGGAGAGAGUGAGAGCUGGAAAAACAGAGGGCAGAGAAGAAGAAGAAAUCUGGAGCAGCAACCCCAUUUCGAAGAGAAGAAGGUGCUCUUCACUUUGGUUAGUAAUCAUCCAUCAAAAUAAUUGUAAUAGCUUUGAGCUUUGUAUAGAGAAGAAAUUAAUCACUAUAUUUUUUCUUCUCUAUUUGUUUCUUUGGUGUGUGAGAGCUUUUGGGUGUAUUGGGGUUAAGGGUUGUGAGAUUGCCAACACUUUGUAAACUCCCAUUUGGUUGAUAGUGGAUUAUUUGGUGAGCUCCUACUGCUCCGAGGACGUACUCCAGUUACACUGACUGUUGAGGAACCUCAUUAAAAUCUUGGUGUCUUUUAUAUUUUGUUCUUGCAUUUUCAUUUGAUAUAUUUCCUGUGGGUUAUCAAGAGUUGGUUCUAAAAGGUUUGGUGCUACCUAGCACAACAAUCAUCACCAUCACCAUCAUCACUACCAUCACCAUCAUCAUUGUCAGCAUCUUUCUUCAUCUUGGCCUCAUAAAAAUCAGACAAACGAAAGCUUCUCUUUAGGAAACUGGGGGCAGCAGCAUCCUUGGAAGCCUUGUACCUGCCGAGAAUGUGAUUGAAUUCAACUGGAUCUUGCGGCCACGUCUCCGACUGAAUUCGACCUGUUUACCGGUACUAGUAGUUGUUGGUGACACUGGACCAUUAUUAGUAUUCUCUUGCAUUAUUUGAAUCUGAACCGUCCAUGAGAAAUCGUAUGGCGUAUAUACCCGUAGUCUUACGAGUAUUUCAGAGAACACGUAUUUCAAAGAAUCUUAACAGAUACAUAAUUUGUCUUCUGGAUGACUAUUCAUUCAUCACACAAAACACAUAUUUCAGAUAACCUUAUCGGAGUAGUUUUAUUUCUCCGAUUACUACGCGUCUCUCGCAUUGCCAUUCACUAAGUAAAGAAAAUCUAGGUUGGAAGCAUUCCAAUUUGGAUUGGCCCAAGCCUUCCACAUUUGGUAGUUCUUAGCCUUUGUGCAAAUGAGCUUCAUAGUGCCAUUUCUGAGGAACUCUGUAGUCUCACAAUUCUCCAAAUUUUGGACCUUGAAGACGAUACCAAGAUGUUUCCAAAAUAUGACAUCCAUGGCCACUACCUUUUCAAGCGAAGGAGAUACCAGUAUCGAAUCUACAUAGAGAAUGCAUUUUUGGGAACCAAAGCUAGAGAAGUGAAAUAUAACAUAGUGCUUGGUUUGAUAAUGAGCUUGGACAUUUCAAGCAACAUGAUAUUUGAAGAAAUUCCUAAAGAGCUGACCAGCCUCAUUUGUUUGCAAUCGAUGAACUUAUCCAAUAAUCUUCACACGGGAAGAAUCCCUUCCAAGAUCAAUGAUAUGGGAUCAUUAGAAUCACUUGAUUACUACGAGAACCAACUUUCUGGUGAAAUAUCUCCAAGCAUCUCGAAUUUGACAUUUCUCCAUUAUUUGAAUUUGUCCUAUAACAAUAUGAUAGCGCAGAUGCCAAAAAGCAUUAAACUUCAAAGCUUUGAUCUGUCCAGUUAUGCUGGCAAUAAACUUUGUGAAGCUCCAUUGGAAGAUCGUUGUAGUACAAAUGAGGCCAUGCCAUCAAUAGGUUCUAACUUCUAUCUAAUGAGAAACACAAAGCAGGUCAUUUACUUGAUGAUGGUGGAUUCUAUCUAAGCUUGGGGCUUGGACUUGCAUUCGGGUUUUCGAUUAUUCUUAGUUUCACUGACUUUAAUGUGCCAUAUAGCAAUGUAUUUUCUCGGUUCCAAUCUUGACGAAAACACGUGUUGCUAAGGCCAUUCAUUCAUUCAUUGUUUCUGUUGCUAGAAAGGCCUCGUAGCCACCAUGACGUUCAACGCAAAGCUAAUAUCUUUAGGUGGUUUUUGUUAAGGCGGUGUUUCGACGAGUAAGUUAAAUGACAUUGAAUCCGACAAGAGGAAAAAGAGAAGCAAAUAAACAAAGGCCUAGCCAAGGCGAUAAAUUAUAUGUGUGCAAUGUUCCCAAGUUUUAUUCAGACAAAAAUUGUGUGCACAAAGCGCAAAAUUUUUUAUGAGAAUAUUUGAGUUUAUCGUCAUUCAUGUCGACAAAUGUCAAGUAAUAUGCUGAGUGAUGUCAAGACCCCAUGCUAAGUGAUGUCAACACGACUCGUCAAAUGUUGUCAAGAUAUUUUUAUAAAACAUUUCGUCAAAUACUUUAGGGUUAAUCUCAGUUUACUACUCUGAAGUUUUGUGGUGUUUCAUACAUCCGUUAAGUUUUCCGUUAGAACUGAGCGUCACGUGUCAAUAUAGACCCACUUCAAUAUUAAAAAAUAAAAAAAGUGCAAAAAUAAAAUAAAAUCCCAACCCGUCUUCUACCUCCCCCAAGCUCACUCCAACCACCAAAACCAGUCUCCCCCAACCCGCACCCUCCCUUCCUUCUUCCCUCAGAUCCAAAACGAAACGUAAACAAUUUGAGACCAUUCUAUUACUUGCUUCCAUUGCACCUUAAAGCAACGCUCCCAAUCAAACGAAAACCAGCAAAAAAGUCUAACUUCCAAAAUAAAAUGCAACCAAGUUCGGAACUUGCGAAAACCACACCAAAAACCCAAUCACGAAAGCUAAAAAACUCCCAUUUUCCAAUCCCACUAUGUAAUUUUUCAGAUCAUCCAAACAAAAACCCAGAAGCAAAAAAUAGAGAAUUGAAGAAAGUAAACUUUUUUCUCUUUACCGAAGUGAGAGUAGGAGUCGAAUUAAUAGUCAGCGCUGGUCUUGCCAUCGGCUUCGACGAAGGAGACCUCUGGCUCGCCAUGGAGUCAUCGACGGCCUUGUUGAGCUCGGGGUCGCACAUGGACUCGUCGGGGUUAGAGCUCUAGGGGACGUCUUUUACGGAGGGAAGAAGGAAGGUUAGAGCUCUCCGGGUCGCACAUGGACUCGUCGGGGUUGGAUCUGAGGGAAGAAGGAAGGGAGGGUGCGGGUUGAGGGAGACUGGUUUUGGUGGUGAAAGAAGGUCAGGGGAGAGGGUGCAGGUUGUAGAGGGAAGAAGGAAGGUUGGGGGAGACUAGUUUUGGUGGUUGGAGUGAGCUUGGGGAGACUGGUUUUGGGGGAGAGGGUGCGGGUUGCAGAGGGAAGAAGGAAGGGAGGGGAUUGGGGGAGGUAGAAUACGGGUGGGGAUUUUAUUUUAUUUUUAAUUUUUUAAUAUUGAAAUGUGCCUAUAUUGACACGUGACGUUCAGUUAUUGUCAUUUAGGUGUCACUUAAUCGGUUAACAGAAGUUCUAACGGAAAACUUAACGGAAGUAUGAAACUGUCCCAAAAUAAGACUUGAGGUAUGAAUCUGGAAUGAAAAAAACUUCAUAUACUAAAUGUUGAAAACCACAAAAUUUCAUGGUAGUAAAUUGAUAUUAACCCAAUACUUUAUGAGCAUAGAAAGAUCCCGACCAGACAUUUGAAGGGCUCCGGACGACCUUCACAUUUGUUUUUCUUUUCAGCAUUUGGAGGGUUCCAGGACCAACCAAGUCUCUACAUGGGUCUGCCAAUGAACAUGUCACACUUCUAACGUAUAUUUCUAUGUCCUUGUCCACUUAACCUUGUCUUCGAGUACUUCGAAAAAUUUAUCCGCAAAGACAAAUGAAUCUGCCGUCAUUGCCACACGAGAAAACAGCAAAACAUGAAAUUGCGGACAACACAACACCAAGUCAAUCUACUUUCUAUCAUAUUUUUUUGGUCAUUUUCUUUGACAUUGUAAAUUUCAAAUAAAAAACAGAGUGGGAGAAACAAGGACCCAAAUUCUUAUUUAUUUAUUUAUUCAUGAAACGACACACAAUAUUUACUUUCAUAUUAUGUCAAAAAAUAUGAAUGUGAUACUAAGCGUUAACUGUCGGUUUACCCCCUGAACUUUUACCUCACUUUCGAUUUCCCUCCUGAACUUUUAUAUUGGAAAAUUAAGGACUCAAACUAUUUUUUUUAGCCAAUUUGCCCCCUACCAUUAGUUUUUCAUAUAUUCCAUCCAUAUUUCCGUUAAGUGAAACCAUGUGCACAACAUGUGAGGGUAGUUAAGUCAUUUCACUCUUAAAAAUGAUUAAAAAACUGAAAAUUAAAAAAAACAAAACUUUCCCUCUAUUUUUUCCCGCUAAUUCCUAUCCUCGAUUUUAUUUUUCCCUCUCAUUCCUAUGCAUGAGAAAUGACAUAUGGUGUUAUUGUCUACCAUUUUUAUUUUCUCUAACAAAUUAAUAAUUUGACAAAUGCUAAUGAUGUUAUUGUCUCCAAAGCAGUGCAUUAAUACAAGAAACCCUAGUCUUUUUUAUGGACAUGUUUCUUAUAUUAAUGUACUGCUUUGGAGACAAUAACACCAUGAGCAUUUGUCAAAUUAUUAAUUUGUUAGAGAAAAUAAAAAUGGUAGUACAUGCUUCAAGAAAAAGAUUAACUUAUCUACUUAUGAAGACAAUAACACCAUAUGUCAUUUCUCAUGCAUAUGAAUGAGAGGGAAAAAUAAAAUUGAGGAUAGGAAUUAGCGGGAAAAAAUAGAGGGAAGUUUUUUAUUAUUAUUUAUUUUCAGUUUUUAAUCAUUUUUAAGAGUGAAAUGACUUAAUUAUCCUCACAUGUUGUGCACAUGGUCUCACUUAACGGAAAUAUGGAUGGAAUAUAUGAAAAACUAACGGUAGGGGGCAAAUUGGCUAAAAAAAUUAGUUUGAGUCUUUAAUUUUCCAAUAGAAAAGUUUAGGGGGGAAAUCGAAAGUGAGGUGAAAGUUCAGGGGGUAAACCGAUAGUUUACCCGUGAUACUAAUAUAUUGAACUAUACAAAAAUCACACUCCUUCGUUAGUGCGAAAAGUUGAAACGCAUUCAUAAGUACAAACUCGUGAGUGGGGUACCAACAUAUUAAACUCACACUAGUAUAGUAUUCAGGGUUUUGGGAUCCCCUUUUUUUUCAAAAAAUGGAGAUUGUUUGUAUGGCCCACACCACAUUGAACUUCAAUGAUUCAAACUGUCUAUUUUUCAAGUUGCACCUCAUAGAUCAUCGUUGCAAAAUAUUAGCCAAAUUAGAAAUAUUUGGGAAUCUAAUUGAGUUCAAAGAAAUUGACGAACACUGUGUUUUAAAAAACAUUGAAACUUCAUCGUGACAAAUUGACAAUUAAAUAGGCAAAUGGUGUAGCAGUUUUGUUACAUGCAUCAAACAUUGUGUUCUAAGAAACAUUAAAAUUAUGCAUCAAACUCAAGACAUCCGAUCUCUAUAUAUAUGCAUAACACUCGCUCAGAAUCUCAAAGUAGAGUACCUUUCUUGCAAGAGCAAGUUGUACUCAUGAACAUUUAUGAACUGGUAUCAUAACAAGUUGUUCCGUAAAUAGACAAUUAGUCAAUAUAUACUUUUGAACUUAAUAACCCACGUCAGAACAAUACAAUAUGUUGAAUACAUGAGCUCCUGGACAAUUUGUCUUACACAACUUAGCUAGCUGGUACCAGAUAAAAUCGAGAAAAGAUGUUUAUAUACUUGUACCAUCCCACACCACAAUUCAUAUUGAACUCCCCCCCCCCCCCCCCCGGCUCUCUCUCAUGAUGCAGCCUCCACGAGGGAGUAUCGUCGUCGCCGCCGCAGUCUUUGCAACUGUCAUCCAAGUGUUUUCCACGGCAAACUCCCUCCAAGAAGCUGAUAAAAUCACAAGGUUGCCAGGUCAACCACAAGUCAGCUUCCAGCAAUAUGCAGGAUAUGUAACUGUGGAUGAAAAGCAAGAGAGAUCUCUUUUUUACUACUUUGUUGAAGCACAAAUUGAUCCUGCUUCCAAGCCUCUUGUUCUUUGGCUCAAUGGAGGUGAGCUUCCAUCGAAAUCCAGUAACGAGUAAUAUAAUCCCUACCGGAAAUAUUUUACGCAUUAGUUUUUGUUAGUCAUACUGUUUCAGCCAACUUAGUGACGCUUGCGUUUGCAACACUUUAUACAUUAUUGAAUGCAUGUUACGUAUUACAAUUAUGAACCAAAUAAUUGAGCUUUGUGACUUUUAAUUGAAGGUCCGGGUUGUUCAUCUAUUGGAGUUAGAGCUUUCAACGAGAACGGACCUUUUCAACCAAGCGGAGACAUUUUACUCAAGAACGAUUUUAGUUGGAAUAGAG
rnacentral:lncRNA from 1 species